AGACACCGGAAUAAAUCAUGUUAAGCAACCCCUAACAUGGGGCGAAACAAAUGAAAAUUAUUCCAUGUCUUUGGUUGGGGCGACCGCGGGGAAAUAAAAAACCCCCACGUGGAUUGGGGCUACACUGCCCCACAACUGAGAGCUCCUGCUCUAGCUAACAGAACAUCUGACCAAUUAAGAUCCGGCAACGCCGAUCAACGGACCGAGUUACCCUAGGGAUAACAGCGCAAUCCCCUUUUAGAGCCCAUAUCGACAAGGGGGUUUACGACCUCGAUGUUGGAUCAGGACAUCCUAAUGGUGCAGCCGCUAUUAAG
rnacentral:rRNA from 1 species